UUUUGGGAUUCCUCUCCAUUCUUACGUCACCGCGCUUUCUGAUUGGCUACCAGUCACAUUCAACAGGCUGCAUUAAAUUCUCGCUCCCAGUCGGGGAAAAGCCCUGAUUUGGAUCGGAGCGGCAACGACGAUCUACCGUAACACUCCAAACACUACAGGAUGACCUGU